GCGCGGAAACCCUGGGGAUCGAGGGAUUUCUUGGAGAAAAUGAUUUGAUUUCGAGACAUUUUGUGGUUGUUGAGAUUUGCUGGAGCUGAGUUCUUGCUGCGGAAACCCUCGAAAUUGAGACAUUUUGUGGAGGAAACGCUGUAGUUAUUGACGUACGACAAACCCUUGUUUGAGGUUAUUGCCACCAGAUGAGAGAAAAUAUACCUUCAGUGAUACUGUACUGUGAUAAACUAUACCACCAGGAAGCAUGAGGGGACCAGGCGUUGUAGUCCUAAUCCUAUCAUGGAUCAUCACCUUAUAUACUCUCUGGCAAAUGGUAGAGAUGCA